GACGAACCGUGCGAACGUUGUUCGGAUUCACUGGGCUUAAAGGGCGCGUAGGCGGGCGGUCAAGUCAGGGGUGAAAUCUUUCGGCUCAACCGGAAAAGUGCCUUUGAUACUGGCCGUCUCGAGGGAGGUAGGGGCAUGCGGAACUUCCGGUGGAGCGGUGAAAUGCGUAGAUAUCGGAAGGAACGCCGAUGGCGAAAGCGGCGUGCUGGACCUCUUCUGACGCUGAGGCGCGAAAGCCAGGGGAGCAAACGGG
rnacentral:rRNA from 1 species